CCCCACACUUUUAAGCCGGCCUUUUUCGCAUCUUAGAGUGAAAAAGGUGUGCUCGUAGUGGGAACAGAAAAGUCUUUUCUUGUGUAUGGUUGCUUUGGCUUUAUCCAUAUUGACUAAAGGAAGAUUAGAAACAAUC